GUGCUGUGAUGGUUUGAUCAACACAUCAUUCUGACCUCAAAGUGGGGAAAGAUUUCAAUGUAACUGAGCAUG
ensembl:snoRNA SNORD63 Small nucleolar RNA SNORD63